GAAGGGGUCGCUCAGCCCGGUAGAGCGCCACUCCGGUGAUGGCCGUCUGAAAACGGCUGCUUCAGCGGUUCAAAUCCGCUCUCCUUCG
rnacentral:tRNA from 1 species